UUAUCCCAUUCUGUUUGUGGAUUUUGGAAUUGUAAGAACUCAACUUCUGUAGACGAAUGCUUCCUAUCUAUUUCUAGUAGAUCCUUUUCAUAUUUGUGGCAUUUGUAAUGGAAUGUUUGUGUGGAUGAUGUUUGCUAUUACUCAGCAAUUAGAUUAUUCGACUCAAUGGGUCAAUUUAUAACCGGAAAAGAUUGGAACCAUCUUAAUUAAAGAGGAAUUAUAUAGGGUUUCACUUGAAAAGAGUCCUCCUUUCGUAGAUGCUUCCAACAAUUAAAGAAGGUGCCUUUGGGCAUGAGGUCCUGGCCAACUUAAAGAAUCCCAAAAUAAAUUGAAGGAAGAUUUGCAGCAACAAAUGGCAGAGCAGCUGGCAGAACGAGAAAGGAAGUGGAAGCUAUGCAGGCAAGUAUGAAAUCCGUAAUGAGAGAUUAUAACACAAGCCUUGGCUAAAGGAAGCUCACAGAGUUCACUUCAAUUGGGUAGUUGCUGUGGAACAGCUUGACAGGAAUUGUUGGUGGAGGUUCUCAUGCUGAAGUGCUUAAAUUUUCUUGGGAACAAGUUGAAUGGCGAAUUUCUCUUAGAGGAAACAUAUUUAUCAGCCAAAACUAAUUUGUUUUCACAUAACAUGUCCUCAACCAAACUCACACUCAUCCAAUAGUUCUUGUUAGGAUUAAUUUUUAGUGAAUCUGGUUUCAAGUGUUUAAUUUUUUCAUGGACUUUGAUUUUGAUAAUAGAUUCUGGGUCUAUAAUACAUUAUGAAGCGACAAAAUAGAGAAAACCGGGCUUCAGAAUAUGUUCUAAACCCAGAAUCAAUUCCGAGAAUGCAUACCAAACACAGCCUCAAUGUUUUGACUGAAUAUUUCAUAUUGGAUAUUCUAUUUGCCCUUUCGACUGUCAAGUAAAAUUGGUAUUGCUUCUUAUUUGGCUGCAUUAUUUCCUACUUCUAA